rnacentral:rRNA from 1 species
UACGUAGGGGGCUAGCGUUGUCCGGAUUUAUUGGGCGUAAAGAGCGUGUAGGCGGCCAGGUAGGUCUGCUGUGAAAACUCGAGGCUUAACCUCGAGAUGUCGGCGGAAACCAUCUGGCUAGAGUCCGGAAGAGGAGAGUGGAAUUCCUGGUGUAGCGGUGAAAUGCGCAGAUAUCAGGAAGAACACCCGCGGCGAAGGCGGCUCUCUGGGGACGGUACUGCGCGAGACGCGAAAGCGUGGGGAGCGAACAGG